rnacentral:rRNA from 1 species
AGGGCAAGUCUGGUGCCAGCAGCCGCGGUAAUUCCAGCUCCAAUAGCGUAUAUUAAAGUUGUUGCAGUUAAAAAGCUCGUAGUUGAAUUUCGGGGUUAGUAGGUUGGUCAUGCCUCAGGUAUGUACUGAUCUCACUGAUUCCUCCUUCCUGAUGAACCGUAAUGCCAUUAAUUUGGUGUUGCGGGGAAACUGGACUGUUACUUUGAAAAAAUUAGAGUGUUUAAAGCAGGCUAACGCUUGAAUACAUUAGCAUGGAAUAAUGAAAUAGGACGUUCGAUCCUAUUUUGUUGGUUUCUAGGAUUGACGUAAUGAUUAAUAGGGAUAGUUGGGGGCAUUAGUAUUCAAUUGUCAGAGGUGAAAUCCUUGGAUUUAUUGAAGACUAACUACUGCGAAAGCAUUUGCCAAGGAUGUUUUCAUUAAUCAAGAACGAAAGUUAGGGGAUCGAAGACGAUCAGAUACCGUCGUAGUCUUAACCAUAAACUAUGCCGACUAGGGAUCGGAUGAUGUUAAUUUUUUAAUGACUCAUUCGGCGCCUUACGGGAA